rnacentral:lncRNA from 1 species
CACGCGCAGACGAGCGGGUCUGGGUCCGGACGAGGGGAGGGAGGGGGUGGUGUUCUCGGUUUCCUGGGUUACCUGGGCGGGCGGGGGUGGGGAGUGCGCGGCGGCGGCGGCAGCGGCGUCGGCUCGGGGUUCUCCGGGAGAGGGGGAGUGCGCGGCGGCCGCAGCUGCCACAAACCAGGUGAAGCUUUGUUCUAAGAAUAUUUGUUUCAUCUAGUUUAUGAGUCCAAAUGAUAUAGACUGUAAAUGUCACAGCAGUGGUGAAAGACUGCUCGGUCAUGAGCACCGACAGUAACUCACUGGCACGUGAAUUUCUGACCGAUGUCAACCGGCUUUGCAAUGCAGUGGUCCAGAGGGUGGAGGCCAGGGAGGAAGAAGAGGAGGAGACGCACAUGGCAACCCUUGGACAGUACCUUGUCCAUGGUCGAGGAUUUCUAUUACUUACCAAGCUAAAUUCUAUAAUUGAUCAGAGAUGGGGUUUCACCGUGUUGACCAGCUGAUCUUAAACUCCUGACCUCAAGCAGUCUACCCCCGUUGGCCUCCCAAAGUGCUGGGAUUACAGGUGUGAGCCACUGCACCCAGCCAAGUUUAUGUAUUUUUAUUCUUUUUCAUGAAUGUGAUUUGUUAAAUGAGUGAUUAAAUAUAAUUUUUAUAUAUUUGUAUGACUUUUCUGUAAAUAAAAUUUAAAAUCAGAAAAA